rnacentral:rRNA from 1 species
CCAUUAAUAAAUCUUACAAAUAAUCACUUAUAAAAAUAAUUCUACAUAAACUACUUCCAAAUAGUAAAAAAUAAAGGUACUGAAAAGGAGCAAAAAAUAAACUAAAGUAGUGAAUUACCACGUACCUUUUGCAUUAUGAUUUUACAAGUUUAAUUAUUAAUAAUAUAAUCCCGAAUCCUACACGAGCUGUCCCCGUAUAGUUAAGAACUCACCACUAGUUGUGGCAACAACUUUGGAAAAUACCCUGACAGAGGCUACAUACCACCCGCGCUAGAAAAUUGCUGGUUUUCAGAAAACUUUAUAAAUUAAAACAUGUAGAAGUCUACAGUGUAAGACUAUAGAGGACAAGCCCUAUAAUCUAAAGCUAAGCCUCAUUACUUUAUAUAACUAGGCCUAAAAACAGCCACCCUAAAUACGUUACUGUAUAAAAUACUUAAUUCCUAUAUUACCUGCAAUAAUCACCUGAAAUUUAAGAAAAAUAAUAAAUCUUUAUAUAUUCUGUAAAAAUAAGUAUUAAUCAUCCAAUCACCAAACCAUAAAAUAUCAUAUCUACUAACCAAAUGCUUAUAAAGGAACUCGGCAAAUCUUAUUUCGACUGUUUAACAAAAACAUUGCUUCCUGUACGCCCAUAUGAAGUAAUUCCUGCCCAGUGAAUUUUUUAACGGCCGCGGUAUCCUAACCGUGCAAAGGUAGCAUAAUCACUUGCCCAUUAAUUGUGGGCUAGAAUGAAAGGACUAACGAAAUAAAGACUGUCUCUAUAAGCCGUCUAAAAAUUAAUCUCUAACUGAAGAGUGUUAGAUUUAUUCGAAGGACAAGAAGACCCUAUAGAGCUUCAUUUAAACAAAAUUUUAAUAAUUUUUCUACAAUUCGGUUGGGGCGACCCGGGAAUAGUUAAUCAUCCCAUCUUAUCAGAUAAAUAUAUCAUACUUUUGACCCUUUAUAAAGAUCUUAAAAUUAAGCUACCUUAGGGAUAACAGGCUAAUCCUACUAAAGAGUCCUUAUCAAUAGUGGGGUUUGGCACCUCGAUGUUGGCUUAGGGAAUCCGUACGGCGCAAAAGUCGUACAUAGAUGGUUUGUUCAACCAAUAAUACCCUACAUGAGCUGAGUUCAGACCGGCGUAAGCCAGGUUAGUUUCUAUCCUCGAAAUUUCAAUCUAUUUACAGUACGAAAGGACCUAAAUAAGAGUAAUAUUUAUACUAAUAGAACCUUGUAACUAAAAUUAAAUAUCUAAAAACCUAAACUAUG